rnacentral:misc_RNA from 1 species
GAUGAAGAACGCAGCGAAAUGCGAUAAGUAAUGUGAAUUGCAGAAUUCAGUGAAUCAUCGAAUCUUUGAACGCACCUUGCGCCCUUUGGCUAUUCCGAAGGGCAUGCCUGUUUGAGUAUCAUGAAAACCUCAACUCUCAUGGCUUGCCAUGAUGAGCUUGGACUCUGGGGGUCUUGCUGGCUUUACGGUCAGCUCCUCUCAAAUAAAUCAGCUUGCCGGUGUUUGGUGGGAUCAAAGGUGUGAUAACUAUCUACGCUUGUGGUUUUCCGCCAGGUAACCUUCAGCAAUGGAGGUUCGCUGGAGCUCAUAAAUGUCUCUCCUCAGCGAGGACAGAUUUUGACCGUUUGAUCUCAAAUCAGGUAGGACUACCCGCUGAACUUAAGCAUAUCAAUAAGCGGAGGA